CUAAAAAACAUAUAAAUUUGUAGGAAACAGUACUAAGGCAUCUAGGUUGAGCAAACCUCAAAAUAUGUUACAGCCUAAGUGAAUAUUGGAAGCUUCACCUGUUUGUAUUGUAAAGCGUACAGCUACUGUAUCGAAUAGUUUAGGUCAUUAGUUAAUAAUUGGAUUAAAAAAAAUCAAUAGCGAUAACAAAUCAUGACUAUCUAACAAACAUCAAACUCACAUUAAAGAUUGGAAAAAUGAAGAAACCUUUUGGUAGCCUUCAUCAAAGCGCUUCCUUUGUUCGGGGUUGGAAAGGUCUGCGCGAGCAGCCAUCCAACCAUGGAACAUGUCGCUGAAUGUUUCGAAGGAAGACUUGGCAUAAGCGGGGUUUGUCUUGAACGCUUCUUCCCAUUCUUUGAUGAUUUUAGCAUCUUCGUCUUUAGAGCAAAGAAACAAUACAGGACAAUGAACAUUGGCUGCAUCAGCGCUAUCAGGGAAGGAAGGGUGACAGCUAGCAAUUCCAACGAAAUCAAUUGUAGCGGGAUAAGUGACCAAAACUUUAGCACCCCAACAAAAUCCAUAAGUGCCAAUAGUAACAUUUGGUCCAUGGUUAGCGCGCACAGCUUCUACAACUUUAGCAAGUUUCGGCCAGUGCAAAUUAGGAGAAAUUCUAGUAGAAAAAAAAUCAUUGCAUAACUUUUGGUCCUCUGGCGUCUUAGGGGGUAAAGCAGUAACUGGCAACGGCUUUCCCUCUAAGAAAUCGGGUAAGUAGACGGUAAAGCCAUCAUCUGCCAAUUUAUCAGCACCCUCUUUAAUUUGAUCAGAGAGACCAAAUAUAUCCAUGAAACCAAUCAAAACACGGGUAUUGGAAGUAGAUCCAACAACAUAGGUGGUCAAUCCUCCAAAGUUUUCAAUUUCUUUACCCUUAAAGGUAUAGGACUUGUUAGAAGCUGCGGCACCACGACUUGUUGGACAGCAAGAGGCCAUUUUCUUAAAUUAAUCAAUGGUUCGUACAAAAAGUAACUGUACAAGUUUAUUAAAAAACCACAAUAAAAUGGUAAGUUGGGUGAAAUUUCGUCAGUACUGUUGGCUGUAUAUAUAUAUCAUAUCAUACACAUUAUGUCAAA